rnacentral:rRNA from 1 species
CGUAGGUGAACCUGCGGAAGGAUCAUUACCGAGUGUAGGGUUCCUAGCGAGCCCAACCUCCCACCCGUGUUUACUGUACCUUAGUUGCUUCGGCGGGCCCGCCAUUCAUGGCCGCCGGGGGCUCUCAGCCCCGGGCCCGCGCCCGCCGGAGACACCACGAACUCUGUCUGAUCUAGUGAAGUCUGAGUUGAUUGUAUCGCAAUCAGUUAAAACUUUCAACAAUGGAUCUCUUGGUUCCGGCAUCGAUGAAGAACGCAGCGAAAUGCGAUAACUAGUGUGAAUUGCAGAAUUCCGUGAAUCAUCGAGUCUUUGAACGCACAUUGCGCCCCCUGGUAUUCCGGGGGGCAUGCCUGUCCGAGCGUCAUUGCUGCCCAUCAAGCACGGCUUGUGUGUUGGGUCGUCGUCCCCUCUCCGGGGGGGACGGGCCCCAAAGGCAGCGGCGGCACCGCGUCCGAUCCUCGAGCGUAUGGGGCUUUGUCACCCGCUCUGUAGGCCCGGCCGGCGCUUGCCGAACGCAAAUCAAUCUUUUUCCAGGUGACCUCGGAUCAGGUAGU